UUGAACGCUGGCGGCAUGCUUUACACAUGCAAGUCGAACGGUAACAGGCCGCAAGGUGCUGACGAGUGGCGAACGGGUGAGUAAUGCAUCGGAACGUGCCCAGUCGUGGGGGAUAACUACUCGAAAGAGCAGCUAAUACCGCAUACGAUCUAUGGAUGAAAGCGGGGGACCGUAAGGCCUCGCGCGAUUGGAGCGGCCGAUGUCAGAUUAGGUAGUUGGUGGGGUAAAGGCUCACCAAGCCAACGAUCUGUAGCUGGUCUGAGAGGACGACCAGCCACACUGGGACUGAGACACGGCCCAGACUCCUACGGGAGGCAGCAGUGGGGAAUUUUGGACAAUGGGCGCAAGCCUGAUCCAGCAAUGCCGCGUGCAGGAAGAAGGCCUUCGGGUUGUAAACUGCUUUUGUACGGAACGAAACGGCUCUGGUUAAUACCCGGGGCUAAUGACGGUACCGUAAGAAUAAGCACCGGCUAACUACGUG
rnacentral:rRNA from 1 species